rnacentral:rRNA from 1 species
UACGUAGGGUGCGAGCGUUAAUCGGAAUUACUGGGCGUAAAGCGUGCGCAGGCGGUGAGCUGUGUCCGAUGUGAAAGCCCCGGGCUUAACCUGGGUAUGGCAUUGGAAACUGGCUCGCUGGAGUGUGGCAGAGGGGGGUGGAAUUCCGCGUGUAGCAGUGAAAUGCGUAGAUAUCAAGAGGAACACCAGUGGCGAAGGCGAGUCCCUGGACGAUACCUGACACUGAGGCACGAAAGCUAGGGGAGCAAACAGG